GAAAACAGGGAGGAAGCUGAAGCAGAAAGAGUUCAGUUAGAGUCCCAGAACUGAAGGCUGAGGCAGGACUGACUGAAGUCCAGAAGAUGAUGAAGAGGAAGAGGAGGACAGAGGAAGAGGAGGACGGAGCAGAGUCCUCAGGAUCCAGCUGUCUGUCUAUGAAGAGUGACUGGUCCAAAAACCGUCCUCCAGACUUCAGUCCUGAACCUGGACCCUCAGACUCAAAAGAGAGGAAGAGGAGUCCUGUUCCUGUGGAGGAGCAGCCGUCCAGCUGUGG